rnacentral:rRNA from 1 species
UACGGAGGGUGCAAGCGUUAUCCGGAUUCACUGGGUUUAAAGGGUGCGUAGGCGGGUAUGUAAGUCAGUGGUGAAAGCCUACAGCUCAACUGUAGAACUGCCAUUGAUACUGUAUGACUUGAAUUCGAUCGAAGUGGGCGGAAUAUGACAUGUAGCGGUGAAAUGCUUAGAUAUGUCAUAGAACACCGAUAGCGAAGGCAGCUCACUAGGUCUGGAUUGACGCUCAGGGACGAAAGCGUGGGGAGCAAACAGG